rnacentral:rRNA from 1 species
AUGAACGCUGGCGGCGUGCCUAAUACAUGCAAGUCGAGCGAACGGACGAGAAGCUUGCUUCUCUGAUGUUAGCGGCGGACGGGUGAGUAACACGUGGAUAACCUACCUAUAAGACUGGGAUAACUUCGGGAAACCGUAGCUAAUACCGGAUAAUAUUUUGAACCGCAUGGUUCAAAAGUGAAAGACGGUCUUGCUGUCACUUAUAGAUGGAUCCGCGCUGCAUUAGCUAGUUGGUAAGGUAACGGCUUACCAAGGCAACGAUGCAUAGCCGACCUGAGAGGGUGAUCGGCAACACUGAAACUGAGACACGGUCCAGACUCCGACGGGAGGCAGAAGUAGGGAAUCUUCAGAAAUGGGCGAAAGCCGGACGGAGCAACGCCGCGGGAGUGAUGAAGGUCUUCGGAGCGUAAAACUCUGUUAUUAGGGAAGAACAUAUGUGUAAGUAACUGUGCACAUCUUGACGGUACCUAAUCAGAAAGCCACGGCUAACUACGUG